rnacentral:lncRNA from 1 species
CCAUGGUUUCAACCGUGGGUUUUGCUGAUUUUGCGAUUCACAAAGGUGGUUUCAAAUGAAACCAUGGUUUCAACAGUGGGUUUUCGGCAUGAUUUUGAGUCAACUGUUUUAGGUGGUUUCAAACCGUGGGUUUUAGGAAAACCAUGGUUUUUAGGCAGAUUGACCAAUCACAGAACAGUAUUUCGGUACAUUGCUGAGCUAGCUGAGCAAGUGCAUAGACGACGAGAAAUAGCUUUGCACGAAAUGAAGAGGAGCAAAGCGUUUAAUAUCGGUAUUUGCCGAGCUGUGAGAACAUCUAAAUUUUUGAAUGGAUGAAAACAUCUUACAACAUGCACAGGCUGUCCUGAGAGACUAUUAAAUGAGGAUUGUUAGAGAGGAAUAUGCCAACAAGAACUGCAAUGAGGAGUCGUUGACAGGAGGAAACUUUUUAAAAGAGACCACACACUACCUCAUCAACAUGCUUGAAGAUGAUCUGAGCCUGAACCCUGAAGAGGGACAAAGGGCCUCGUGAUAGACUACCUUUCUCUCUGCAAGUAUUGACAAUUCUGCUUUUGCAUGCUGAUAAUUUCAGGGAAUACAUGGUGAUGAGGCAUCAGUGUUGCAAUCAUCUGUGAGUGAUCAAAGAUGUUUCACAAGCCAUAGCAAGAAGAAAGAGGUUUUGUGAGAACUUCAACAACAAGAGAUGAGAUUGAGGCUACCCAACAACAACUGUAUGAGUGAUUGAUGGGACCCAUGUCUAUACAAGAAUUCCUGGAGGGAAACAAGCCUUGUACUUUCCGGAAGGGCAAGUCCACCCCAACAAAAAGUUUCUUUGAUAUAAUAGAGAAAAGUCCAUUGAGCAUAACACUGAAAAUUUCAUCAAAAUUUGAUGUAAAAUGAGAAAGUUUUGACAUUUUGAAGUUUCGCUUAUUUUCACAAAACAGAUAUAUGCACAUCCGGGUCAGUAUGCAAAUGAGUGACAAAGUGACGUUCUCCACUCAGUGUUUUCUUUUUGUAAUAUACUAGUAUCAUGCAUUUCCCCCCCCCCUCAUAAUGUGUAUAAAGUACAAGUGUAGUAUGGUUUGAUUUCUCCCUGAAACUUGUAAAAAGCCAUUGAGGCAACCUAUACUCGAUGAAGAGUUUUCUCAUAAUUGUGAAUUCUGUAAAAAAUCAAGCAUUAUAAUAUAUCUCAUAUAUUGAUAUACAUAAGAAAGAGUGAGUGUGUGACAUAGACUUGUUUGCAUAUCACCUGUUUUAUCACCUGAUUAAUUAAUUUCUUAUUUUACAUCCUAUUUUGACGUUUUCAGUGUCAUGCAUGUUUUAUUUUUCUCUAUCCAUUCACAUUAACUUUUUGUUGUACAGUGUACUUGCUCUAGAACAUGUAUUUUUUUGUAAUGUACAAGUAAGAAUUUCAUUAUUUAUUUGUGUCUUCUUUUUUUAACACUUUUUUUACAGGGGUGGGGGGGUUAAAUCAACCUCCCUUGAGAUCUCUGCCAAUGAUCACAUGAACGCCUUGAAAAUUGGUAUGAUAAUAGUGGGGGAUGUCAUGUGCAAUGCAGUUUGGUUAAUUUUUCCGAAAUCGUCAGAUCUUUUAUAUUAAUUAAUUAUGCUAAUUUCUGCAUAGAUCAUACUUUUAUACCACUGAUAACAAUCAAAAUGAAAAAAAAUCCUAGAUUGAAAAUGAAUUUCUUAUGUAUUUUAUUGUUUUAUGAAUUUCUUAUGUAUAUCUUUGUUUUUCAAACUUGUUAUUUGCCAAAAUUAUAGCAGAACAUUUUUUUGAAGCAUAAUUAUGCUGAAAUCAAGUAAUUUCACCUGUGAAAGUAAAAACAAUCAUGUCCAAAUGAAGAAGAUGAGAAAAUUCAACA